GAUUGAGGACAUAGGGCUUGUCCUGGCUAAAAAAAUAAGAUCCGAUAGA
rnacentral:ncRNA from 1 species